rnacentral:rRNA from 1 species
CCUUCGGGAGGCCGCAGUGGGGAAUAUUGGGCAAUGGGCGCAAGCCUGACCCAGCAACGCCGCGUGAAGGAAGAAGGCUUUCGGGUUGUAAACUUCUUUUAUGGAGGACGAAACAAAUGACGGUACUCAAUGAAUAAGCCACGGCUAACUACGUGCCAGCAGCCGCGGUAAUACGUAGGUGGGAAGUGUUAUCCGGAUUUACGGGGGGUAAAGGGCGUGUAGGCGGGACUGCAAGGCAGAUAGGAAAACCAUGGGCUCAACCCAUGGCCUGCAUUUGAAACUGUAGUUCUUGAGUGAUGGAGAGGCAGGCGGAAUUCCGGGUGUAGCGGUGAAAUGCGUAGAUAUACGGAGGAACACCAGUAGCGAAGGCGGCCUGCUGGACAUUAACUGACGCUGGGGCGCGAAAGCGUGGGGAGCAAACAGGAUUAGAUACCCCAGUAGUC